CACGCCUUGGACUUUUAAGGUCACAGGGACUUUUGUUCUUUCACUCUUUUACAAGUUUUGAUCACGUAUUGUCGUUUUCUAACAUGGGUAAGAAAACAGCAUGGGAUACAUGGACUGCUUUUGGAGAGAUUACACUCGUGUUUAAGAGCGAUAUUAUAUAUUGAUGAAUGAUAAACAAGUGAAUGUAAGAAGGUGAACGACGCACGG
rnacentral:lncRNA from 1 species